AGGGAAUAGUUGCUGUGCUGUAAGUUAAUAACAAAUAUCUAUAUCACAGUGGCUGUUCUUUUU
rnacentral:pre_miRNA from 1 species